UUCCGGUUGAUCCUGCCGGAGGCCAUUGCUAUCGGAGUCCGAUUUAGCCAUGCUAGUUGCGCGAGUUCAGACUCGCAGCAGAUAGCUCAGUAACACGUGGUCAAGCUACCCUGCAGAGACGAAUAACCUCGGGAAACUGAGGCUAAUGCGUCAUACCGAUCCCACGCUGGAAUGCCGGGAUCUCCAAACGCUCCGGCGCUGCAGGAUGCGGCUGCGGCCGAUUAGGUAGACGGUGGGGUAACGGCCCACCGUGCCGAUAAUCGGUACGGGUUGUGAGAGCAAGAGCCCGGAGACGGAAUCUGAGACAAGAUUCCGGGCCCUACGGGGCGCAGCAGGCGCGAAACCUUUACACUGCACGCAAGUGCGAUAAGGGGACUCCGAGUGCGAGGGCAUAUAGUCCUCGCUUUUGAGAACCGUAAGGUGGUUCUCGAAUAAGAGCUGGGCAAGACCGGUGCCAGCCGCCGCGGUAAUACCGGCAGCUCAAGUGAUGGCCAAUCUUAUUGGGCCUAAAGCGUCCGUAGCUGGUCGGGAAAGUUCGUCGGGAAAUCCAUCCGCUCAACGGAUGGGCGUCCGGCGAAAACUUCUCGACUUGGGACCGGAAGGCUCGAGGGGUACGUCCGGGGUAGGAGUGAAAUCCCGUAAUCCUGGACGGACCGCCGAUGGCGAAAGCACCUCGAGAAGACGGAUCCGACAGUGAGGGACGAAAGCUAGGGUCUCGAACCGGAUUAGAUACCCGGGUAGUCCUAGCCGUAAACGAUGUUCGCUAGGUGUGGCACAGGCUACGAGCCUGUGCUGUGCCGUAGGGAAGCCGAGAAGCGAACCGCCUGGGAAGUACGUCCGCAAGGAUGAAACUUAAAGGAAUUGGCGGGGGAGCACUACAACCGGAGGAGCCUGCGGUUUAAUUGGAAUCAACGCCGGA
rnacentral:rRNA from 1 species